AGGGUGAUCAUCUUGGAUAGUUCGCCCAGUGAUGGGAAGCUGACUAACAUCUAGCUUGCAGGAGAAUCUUUGGACAGCUUCCAUGAGCCAGACAUUAUUCAGAGAGAGUGUCCUUGGAAUAUACAUCUCUAAAUGGAAUGUCUCCAUCAAAUCCCUCCUGUCAGAGCUCAAGAACCCCAUAAAAGAAGAGGUGGAAAGUGAGCCUGGACCCCUACACAGUUUCAGAGAGGCUUCCUCAUCUUCUCUCUGCUCAUCAGGCACCAGGUUGGAUUCAUGAGGUCACUUCUCCACCCUGCUCAGGGCCACACAAGGGACUAGUUACUCACUGUGCACCCUGCAGUGCACGGAGUCAAAGCCAGCAGGAAGCAGCUGCAGUGGACCUGUGGGUAGGUCAUGAGAAAGGAGGAACGGGAAUUGGUCUGCUUGAGACAGCAAAGGUCUCUCAAAGAAAAAAGCCUGAUCUGAGCCCAUUACAGCACAAGCUGCAAAAGACCACUCCCCUUGAAUGCACUCUUUUGAACGUGUUGCUCGGAAAUUGACCAGUCAAUCAAGGAACAAUGAUAAGUGGACUUCCUGUCCUAGAUGGGUGUGGGGCUCCCACCACAGCCCAAAAGCCAAUGCAAAGGUUGAAGCUUCUCUAUGAUAUGAAUGUUUAGGGAACCAACUUGGGCCAGAUCAACUCUAAUUUGAAUCUUAAGUUAUGCAACUUUAUGGCUGGGUGACCUUGGUCCAUUUGAAUGUCACCUUUUUAUCUAAAAAUGUGUGAGUAGAUUUCUAAUGAGAUUAAUGAGAAAAGACACAGAAAGCAUUUAUCAUCGUGGUUGACACAUAGUAAGUACACAUGUAUGUAAUUGACACACAGUAAAUAAUGCUCCUUACCACCGCUGUUAUAUUAAAUUUACAGGAGACCGCUAUGGUUUGAAUGCCCCAUCCAAAGAUCAUGCACAAAUCUUAUUUGCAUUACAAAGUAUUAAGAGAUGGGACAGGUUGGGAUCUUUAAGACAUCAUUAGGCUGUAAGGGUUCUGCUCUCAUUCAUGAAUUAAUAAGUUACCUUGAGACUGAAUCUCAAGACUGGUACAAAAGCCAGUUUGUCCCCAUUUCUUGUAGAUGUGCUCACCUGUUUCUAUGAUGUCCUGUGACACCUCACCACUCUACAGAGUCUCCAAAAGCAAGAAACUCUCUCAACACUGACCAACUCAACCUUAAGGCAAAAUCUUUAUUCUACUGCAUAGUAUUUAGGUACAGCAACAGAAAACUAAGGCAGAUUAUCAUUGAUUUGGACUGAACUCCUGAAUUCAGCCCUAAAUGGAUUAACUCAAAAUCAGCAUCUGAGAUGCUGAUCACAGGCUGAAGCCUGAGCUAUGUGUUUAUAAGAUUUGUGGGCAGUUAGAAGAGAGGCCAUUGCCAACUCCCUAAACAAGCCAGCAGGAAGAAGUUCCCUUUGCUCUAACCCUGACAAGGAAAGUUACCUAAGACAAAUUGAUGUUAACCGAUCUGCUGCUGUUUAAUAUCGUUAUUCAGGCUCCCUCAAAAAACCCAACUGUUCUGCCAGAUCAUUAGAGAGCCUUUGUAUUUUAUGGAUAUGAGGCU